rnacentral:rRNA from 1 species
GAUGGACGCUGGCGGCGUGCCUAAUACAUGCAAGUCGAGCGAACGGACGAGAAGCUUGCUUUUCUUAUGUUAGCGGCGGACGGGUGAGUAACACGUGGAUAACCUCCCUAUAAGACUGGUAUAACUUCGGGACACCGGAGCUAAUACCGGAUAAUAUUUUGAACCGCAUGGUUCAAAAGUGAAAGACGGUCUUGCUGUCACUUAUAGAUGGAUCCGCGCUGCAUUAGCUAGUUGGUAAGGUAACGGCUUACCAAGGCGACGAUGCAUAGCCGACCUGUGAGGGUGAUCGGCCACACGAGAGCUGAGACACGGUCCAGGCGCCUACGAGAGGCAGCAGUAGGGAAUCUUACGCAAUGGUCGAAAGCAUGACGGAACAACGCCGCGUGAGUGAUGGAGGUCUUCGGAUCGUAAAACUCUGUUAUGAGGGAAGAACAUAUGUGUAAGGAACUGUGCACAGCGUGACGGUACCUAAUCAGAAAGCCACGGCUAACUACGUG